AGAAAAAUCGGCUCUAGCAACUGUUUAUCAAAAACACAGGACUCUGCCAACUCGUAAGAGGAUGUAUAGAGUCUGACGCCUGCCCGGUGCCAGAAGGUUAAGGAAGAGGGUUAGUCGCAAGACGAAGCUCGCAACCGAAGCCCUGGUAAACGGCGGCCGUAACUAUGACGGUCCUAAGGUAGCGAAAUUCCUUGUCGGGUAAGUUCCGACCCGCACGAACCGCGUAACAAUUAGAGCACUGUCUCGACGAGGGACCCGGUGAAAUUGAAAUGGCUGUGAAGAUGCGGCCUACCCGCAGCAGGACAAAAAGACCCCGUGGAGCUUUACUGCAACCUGGCAUUGUAUUUUGGAUAUGAUCUGUGUAGGAUAGGUGGGAGGCUUUGAAGCUGGAGCGCUAGCUUCGGUGGAGCCGACGGUGAAUACCACCCUGAUCAUGUUUAGAUCCUAACCCA
rnacentral:rRNA from 1 species